GAAACGCGAUAGUUAAUGUGAAUUGCAGAAUUCAGUGAAUCAUCGAGUCUUUGAACGCACAUUGCGCCCUCUGGCAUUCCGGGGGGCAUGCCUGUCCGAGCGUCAUUACGCACCCUCAAGCCCGGCUUGUGUGAUGGGCCCCGGCGUCUCGUUCGCGAGACGGGCCCGAAAGGCAGCGGCGGCGUCGACCCGAUGAGCCCGAGCGUAUGGGGACUUCUGUCACACGUUCGCGGUGCGGACCGGCGCCUGCUUGACUUUUCUGAUUAUCCAGGUUGACCUCGGAUCAGGUAGGGAUACCCGCUGAACUUAAGC
rnacentral:misc_RNA from 1 species